AGUGAACGCUGGCGGUAGGCCUAACACAUGCAAGUCGAACGGCAGCACAGUAAGAGCUUGCUCUUACGGGUGGCGAGUGGCGGACGGGUGAGGAAUACAUCGGAAUCUACUUUUUCGUGGGGGAUAACGUAGGGAAACUUACGCUAAUACCGCAUACGACCUACGGGUGAAAGCAGGGGAUCUUCGGACCUUGCGCGAUUGAAUGAGCCGAUGUCGGAUUAGCUAGUUGGCGGGGUAAAGGCCCACCAAGGCGACGAUCCGUAGCUGGUCUGAGAGGAUGAUCAGCCACACUGGAACUGAGACACGGUCCAGACUCCUACGGGAGGCAGCAGUGGGGAAUCUUGGACAAUGGGCGCAAGCCUGACCCAGCCAUACCGCGUGAGUGAAGAAGGCCUUCGGGUUGUAAAGCCCUUUUGUUGGGAAAGAAAAGCAGCAGGUUAAUACCCCGCUGUUCUGACGGUACCCAAAGAAUAAGCACCGGCUAACUUCGUG
rnacentral:rRNA from 1 species